CACGUAGUUAGCCGUGGCUUUCUCAUAAGGUACCGUCAAUUGAUAGUCAUUUCCUCCUAUCACCUUUCUUCCCUUAUAACAGAAUUUUACAACCCGAAGGCCUUCUUCAUUCACGCGGCGUUGCUCGGCCAGGCUUUCGCCCAUUGCCGAAGAUUCCCUACUGCUGCCUCCCGUAGGAGUCUGGGCCGUGUCUCAGUCCCAGUGUGGCCGUUCACCCUCUCAGGUCGGCUACGCAUCGUCGCCUUGGUAGGCCUUUACCCCACCAACUAGCUAAUGCGCCGCAGGCUCAUCCAUCAAUGAUGCCAGGAGCAUCUUUAAACUUUCGUCCUAUCCGGUAUUAGCGAUCGUUUCCAAUCGUUGUCCCCGUCUGAUGGGCAGAUCACCUACGUGUUACUCACCCCGUUCGCCGCUUCCCACCGAAGUGGUUCGCUCGACUUGCAUGUAUUAGGCACGCCGCCAGCGUUCAUCCUGAGCCAGGAUCAAACUCU
rnacentral:rRNA from 1 species